UACAGAGGGUGCAAGCGUUGUUCGGAAUUAUUGGGCGUAAAGCGCGUGUAGGCGGCUUUGCAAGUCGGGUGUGAAAGCCAUCAGCUCAACUGAGGAAGUGCGCCCGAAACUGCAGAGCUUGAGUACCGGAGAGGAUGGCGGAAUUCCCCAAGUAGAGGUGAAAUUCGUAGAUAUGGGGAGGAACACCGGUGGCGAAGGCGGCCAUCUGGACGGAUACUGACGCUGAGGUGCGAAAGCGUGGGGAGCAAACAGG
rnacentral:rRNA from 1 species